rnacentral:rRNA from 1 species
GAGGAAUAUUGGACAAUGGGUGAGAGCCUGAUCCAGCCAUCCCGCGUGCAGGAAGACGGCCCUAUGGGUUGUAAACUGCUUUUAUACAGGAAUAAACCACCUUACGUGUAGGGUGUUGAAGGUACUGUAUGAAUAAGCACCGGCUAACUCCGUGCCAGCAGCCGCGGUAAUACGGAGGGUGCAAGCGUUAUCCGGAUUUAUUGGGUUUAAAGGGUCCGCAGGCGGACUGAUAAGUCAGGGGUGAAAUCCGGCAGCUUAACUGUCGAACUGCCUUUGAAACUGUCAGUCUUGAGUAAGAAUGAAGCAGCUGGAAUGUGUGGUGUAGCGGUGAAAUGCAUAGAUAUCACACGGAACACCGAUAGCGAAGGCAGGUUGCUAAUUCUUUACUGACGCUGAGGGACGAAAGCGUGGGGAGCGAAC